AACUUUCGACAAUGGAUCACUUGGCUCUCGCAUCGAUGAAGAACGCAGCGAAAUGCGAUACGUAAUGUAAAUUGCAGAAUUCAGUGAAUCAUCGAAUCUUUGAACGCACCUUGCGCCCUUUAGCAUUCCGAUGGGCACACACGUUUGAGUGUCGUGACAUUCUCAAGAACCUUAUUGGUUUCUUGACCAGGAAGGCUUUUGAACUUUGGCAGCUUUUGCUGGCCUCCCUUUGUUGAAGCCAGCUCCUCUGAAAUGUGUUAUUGGGGUCUGCUUUGCCUAUCCUUGACGUGAUAAGCUGUUUUCUACGUCUUGGGUUUUGCACUUUUCCUGCUUCUAACCGUCUCCUAGCAGACAAUGGUCCAGUGAUUGCCACUUGACCCACAAACCUUGACCUCAAAUCGGGUGAGACUAACCGCUGAACUUAAGCAUAUCAAUAAGCGGAGGCU
rnacentral:misc_RNA from 1 species